UACGAAGGGAGCUAGCGUUGUUCGGAAUCACUGGGCGUAAAGCGCACGUAGGCGGAUUUGUCAGUCGGGGGUGAAAUCCCGAGGCUUAACCUCGGAACUGCCUCCGAUACAGCAAAUCUCGAGUCCGGGAGAGGUGGGUGGAAUUCCUAGUGUAGAGGUGAAAUUCGUAGAUAUUAGGAAGAACACCAGUGGCGAAGGCGGCCCACUAGCCCGGUACUGAGGCUGAGGUGCGAAAGCUUGGGGAGCAAACAGG
rnacentral:rRNA from 1 species